GGCAGCAGAGAACUGGAAGGAAAGGCGGCCAAAGAAGGAAUUGGCUUUGGGGUGACCAGUGAAAUAUACCUGCUGGAGCGCGUGCUACAGGACAAGUUUUAGCUGUGUAACAGGGCCUCUCUGGAGUACCUGGGCAGUUUUGACCACUAUGCAACAUAACCAUUCUGUGCUGAACAGCCUCUGGUUCUGAGUUUCCCAUCUCAUCAACCCAACCACCUGUCAUGUCACCUGACCUGCCACAGCUACCCUAUCACAGAGGAGGAGGGAGGUGCUACUGUCAUCAAGCAGCAAGUUCAACCAAUCACAGAGGCUGGCCGCUGCUGGUGGAGACGUCAGGUGCAGGAGAGCAGAGAGUUGUGAACAGGCGCACACUAUCUUCGUGUAAACACGGAACAAACCAGCGUAACACAAAACAAUCCUACACAAAGACAUUAUGGGGAACAGAGGAAUAAAUACAUAUGAUGACUGGGGGAUGAAAACCAGGUGUGCAGGGAACAAGGCAAAACAAAUGGAUACAUGAACAAUGGAGCGGCGAUGGCUAGAAAGCCUGUGACGUCGACCGCCGAACACCGCCCUCAGGAGGCUGAAGAAAUUUGGCUUGUCACCAAAAGCACUCACAAACUUCUACAGAUGCACAAUCGAGAGCAUCCUGGCGGGCUGUAUCACCACCUGGUACGGCAACUGCUCCGCCCUCAACCGUAAGGCUCUGAAGAGGGUAGUGAGGUCUGCACAACGCAUCACCGGGGGCAAACUACCUGCCCUCCAGGACAUCUACACCACCCGAUGUUACAGGAAGGCCAUAAAGAUCAUCAAGGACAUCAACCACCCGAGCCACUGCCUGUUCACCCCGCUAUCAUCCAGAAGGCGAGGUCAGUACAGGUGCAUCAAAGCUGGGACCGAGAGACUGAAAAACAGCUUCUAUCUCAAGGCCAUCAGACUGUUAAACAGCCACCACUAACAUUGAGUGGCUGCUGCCAACACACUGACACUGACUCAACUCCAGCCACUUUAAUAAUGGGAAUUGAUGGGAAAUGUAAAUAUAUCACUAGCCACUUUAAACAAUGCUACCUUAUAUAAUGUUACUGACCCUACAUUAUUCAUCUCAUAUGCAUACGUAUAUACUGUACUCUAUAUCAUCGACUGCAUCCUUAUGUAAUACAUGUAUCACUAGCCACUAACUAUGCCACUUUGUUUACAUACUCAUCUCAUAUGUAUAUACUGUACUCGAUACCAUCUACUGUAUCUUGCCUAUGCUGCUCUGUACCAUCACUCAU